GGUAGGGAAGGGGGGGCAGCGCUGGGAGGCUGGGGAGGCUUGCUUCCAGGCAGAUUUUUUCCUUCUUUCUGUGUGUGUGUGUGUGUGUGUGUGUGUGUGUGUGUGUGAAGACCACCAGGAACUGCCUAAUCCCUGAUUUGUCCUGUGUAGGCAGUGGGGAAAAUAUGGUUGUUGUUGUUGAUAUCUGAAAGGAAACGGAGAUACUCUCUGAACCCUAAACCAUACACAUCCUGUUGAAGCAUUUUCCCCUUCGUCCCUGAUCGGAACAGCUUCGGUGGGCUGUGGAGCACGACUCACUCUGUAAUGCAUUGGUGUGUCUCUUUCAGUGUUCUGCUUAUUUCCGCAUAUUCCUAAAUUAGAUCUUAAAAGCAGCGGAAGUUGCCGGGCAGCUAGGGACUGAGAGCACCGCAGAACCCACUGUGUAAUCCCAGCCAGGUCUCUGGAGCUCUGAGUGCCACGGAAAAGAAGGUUGAGAUACCCCUGCCUGAGCCCCUUGUCUCCCUACCGGUGCCCCCUGGUGCACAGGAGUGGAAAAGCCAUGAGUCUCAGAGUGUCCUGGUUCCUGGCUGGCUGAAGAAGGAAGGCUUCAAAGCGUGGCUGAGUGGCCGGUCCCCUCCAGGCCAGUCAGCCAGUCUCUGGGCUCUACCUCUGUACAUCUGAAAGGUCAUCAGGUCACAGAUACAUUAAUGCAAAGAUGCAUUAUCAGCAGGUGAAUGGUGACAUCUUGGCCCGAAGAAAUCCUUGAUGCUUUAUGCAGCCUGAGUUCAAAACAGCAACGAAGAGCAAGCCAGGCAACGCAGAUUUUCUCUUGUGUCGGGGGCAGCCUGCAUGCUUUUCCUUGUGGCUAAUCUCCUGGGGCAAGUAUACCAGCUUCCUGCUCGUCUUGUGGCCUCCAACUAGGAGUCAGAGUGUCUGCAGCAGCUAUAGCUACCAGCUUACUACGCAUGUUCACGUGGAUAAAGGAGGGACUAGAGCUUCUGAAAGCAUAUUCCGCCUAUGGGACCACUCACUGCUCUUUGUAUUCAAAACACCAUCUUCCCGGAAAAACAAAGCUGGACCCUACCGGUUUGGGAGUCUGAUGCAGUGGACCCCCCAAGAACACUAAGCAAAGCUGUCAUUUACUUGUAUGGUCUUGAAUAUAAAUGUAAGUGGGGAUUAUACUGCCCCUCACACAUUAGUCCCUCCCUUCAGGUUUUUGAAGAUGAAAUGAGAUUCUGAUUGUGAAAGUACUUUAUUAGCCAGAUGUGUUUACAUACGAGCAAGUAGGUGUUGAGUGGUACCUAUGCUUUUUGUUCUUUUUUGAUGUUUGUUGUGCUUUCUGCCUAGCCAGAAGUGUCAGCUCGCCUCUGGAAACCUGGGACUUAGGUGCUGGUUCUACCAGCUCCAAAGGGCUGAAUCAGGCUCAAGCCCCUUUGUUCUUAUCUAGUCUCAGUUUGUGGCUAGGAUGUUGGCAUGAGGGAUUAACCAGUUCCAUGGUAUGACAGGUGAGUCCAGGUACCUGGGAUCCCAUAUUUGGCUUCUGUCUCUCUGCAGUUCUGCAGGGUCCCCUGAUCUCUACUAGGUGCUAACACUUUCCUUCCAAUUCUACCAGCACCUUUACUUUGGGGAGGAAAAUUUCAUUUACAUA
ensembl:lncRNA